UACGGGGGGAGCAAGCGUUGUUCGGAUUUACUGGGCGUAAAGGGCGCGUAGGCGGCCACCGCAAGUCGGUUGUGAAAUCUCUGGGCUUAACCCAGAAAGGUCAACCGAUACUGCGGGGCUAGAGUGCAGAAGGGGCAACUGGAAUUCUCGGUGUAGCGGUGAAAUGCGUAGAUAUCAAGAGGAACACCUGAGGUGAAGACGGGUUGCUGGGCCGACACUGACGCUGAGUGCGCGAAAGCCAGGGGAGCAAACGGG
rnacentral:rRNA from 1 species